GACGAACGCUGGCGGCGUGCUUAACACAUGCAAGUCGAGCGGUAAGGCCCUUUCGGGGGUACACGAGCGGCGAACGGGUGAGUAACACGUGGGUGACCUGCCCUCAGCUCUGGGAUAAGCCUGGGAAACCGGGUCUAAUACCGGAUAUGACUCCAUGACGCAUGUUGUGGGGUGGAAAGCCUUGUGCGGCUGAGGAUGGGCCCGCGGCCUAUCAGCUUGUUGGUGGGGUGAUGGCCUACCAAGGCGACGACGGGUAGCCGGCCUGAGAGGGCGACCGGCCACACUGGGGCUGAGACACGGCCCAGACUCCUACGGGAGGCAGCAGUGGGGAAUCUUGCGCAAUGGGCGAAAGCCUGACGCAGCGACGCCGCGUGAGGGAUGACGGCCUCGGUCGU
rnacentral:rRNA from 1 species